CCUACGGGGGGCAGCAGUGAGGAAUAUUGGUCAAUGGACGAGAGUCUGAACCAGCCAAGUAGCGUGAAGGAUGACUGCCCUAUGGGUUGUAAACUUCUUUUAUAUGGGAAUAAAACGUUCCACGUGUGGGAUUUUGUAUGUACCAUAUGAAUAAGGAUCGGCUAACUCCGUGCCAGCAGCCGCGGUAAUACGGAGGAUCCGAGCGUUAUCCGGAUUUAUUGGGUUUAAAGGGAGCGUAGGUGGAUUGUAAAGUCAGUUGUGAAAGUUUGCGGCUCAACCGUAAAAUUGCAGUUGAAACUGGCAGUCUUGAGUACAGUAGAGGUGGGCGGAAUUCGUGGUGUAGCGGUGAAAUGCUUAGAUAUCACGAAGAACUCCGAUUGCGAAGGCAGUUCACUGGACUGCAACUGACACUGAGGCUCGAAAGUGUGGGUAUCAAACAGGAUUAGAUACCCUUGUAGUC
rnacentral:rRNA from 1 species